UCAAGUUUUUGUUGGUAAAGUAAACAAACAAACGCUGUGUUUUGGUUUAAAAUAAUGGACAGUAAAGUGUUCAACGCGCUGGGGAAGGAAGGAGUAAAUGGACUCACCCAAUCUGCCAUCAUUUAUCGUGUCGAGUCGGCUAGUUUCUUUUAUGCUUGCUUUCACUGUGGUAGCAUGUUUGAUGAAAUCAAUGCAACUCUUCAGCACAUCGAAUCUCAUUUUCAAUUGGUCAAUGUUAUGGUCGAUCCAACGUUACCAAGUCAUAGUCAAUUGACCGUGGAAGGCAACGAGAUGAAUGACAAACUUGCUAUGACACCAAAACACGAAAACUUUGUCAUUAAGACAGAAUCUACUGAUGAAUUUGAUGAUUUGAGGCAUCAAGAACGAAAAGGCGAAGAAAGUUAAGGAAUCUUCAGCUUUGAAGAGCAAUCGAGAAAAGAAAAUCAUUUGAAGAGACAUACAAAUGCCGAGCUGUUACAGACAAUGCAAGAAAUGUGACGAAUACUUUAAAAGUGCAGCCGCACUUCGAAAUCAUGUUCUCAAAAUUCACCUAUUUAGACAAACAACCGAAGCGACUCCUAAACGCGACCUGGUCCGGUAUGUGAAUUUUGUACGCAGAGAUUUUACAUAAAGUCGAAUUGGAAGUGCAUCUAAAAACAUUUCAUUCCGGUGAGCGACGACUCCAGUGUUCAACAUGCUAUGCAGUUUUUACAGCACCGAGGAACUACUACGCUCAUCAGUCGGAACAUAAACGUGUUGGGGCCAAUACUAAGGAAUUUGAUCAGAAGGCGGCACUAGCCAGUAUUGAAGCCCUUAUUGACAAACGCAUUGCUCAUAAAGAUGGUCAGCCAUUCUGCUGCUUAAUGUGUGACGCGACAGCGGAAGUACAUUACGAAAUUCGGGCGCACAUUAGAAAUAAACAUGUCUAUCCAAUGUUCCCGCCUCCCAUGGAAAAGAAGAAAAAA